AAAAGUUUGAAUCAUAUUAUCACUACUAAUACACUUCUUUUUCGUAUGCGUAAAUCAGGUCUGUAAAGUUUAGUAGAGCUUCUGAAAUAUAAAGGAAUUACUUUGCAAACUUUUUCUAUCAAGUUUUCAUGAUUACAUAAAUUAGCUUGUGAACAAUAUUAUUUAACUUGAUGGAGCAAUCGAUGUCUUUAACCACAAUGAUAGCGUUGGAUGGG
rnacentral:lncRNA from 1 species